rnacentral:rRNA from 1 species
AUUGAACGCUGGCGGCAGGCCUAACACAUGCAAGUCGAACGGUAACAGGAAGCAGCUUGCUGCUUUGCUGACGAGUGGCGGACGGGUGAGUAAUGUCUGGGAAACUGCCCGAUGGAGGGGGAUAACUACUGGAAACGGUAGCUAAUACCGCAUAACGUCGCAAGACCAAAGAGGGGGACCUUAGGGCCUCUUGCCAUCGGAUGUGCCCAGAUGGGAUUAGCUAGUAGGUGGGGUAACGGCUCACCUAGGCGACGAUCCCUAGCUGGUCUGAGAGGAUGACCAGCCACACUGGAACUGAGACACGGUCCAGACUCCUACGGGAGGCAGCAGUGGGGAAUAUUGCACAAUGGGCGCAAGCCUGAUGCAGCCAUGCCGCGUGGAUGAAGAAGGCCUUCGGGUUGUAAAGUACUUUCAGCGGGGAGGAAGGGAGUAAAGUUAAUACCUUGCUCAUUGACGUUACCCGCAGAAGAAGCACCGGCUAACUCCGUG